rnacentral:rRNA from 16 species
GGAUUGGGGUCUGCAACUCGACCCCAUGAAGUCGGAGUCGCUAGUAAUCGCAGAUCAGCAACGCUGCGGUGAAUACGUUCCCGGGCCUUGUACACACCGCCCGUCACGUCAUGAAAGUUGGUAACACCCGAAGCCGGUGGCCUAACCGUUGUGGGGGAGCCGUCGAAGGUGGGACUGGUGAUUAGGACUAAGUCGUAACAAGGUAGCCGU